rnacentral:rRNA from 3 species
GGAUGCGAUCAUACCAGCACUAAAGCACCGGAUCCCAUCAGACCUCCGAAGUUAAGCGUGCUUGGGCGAGAGUAGUACUAGGAUGGGUGACCUCCUGGGAAGUCCUCGUGUUGCAUUCC